rnacentral:rRNA from 1 species
CAGCCGCCGCGGGAAUACGAGGGGGGCAAGCGUUGUUCGGAAUUAUUGGGCGUAAAGGGUGCGUAGGCGGCUUGACAAGUCUUGUGUGAAAUCUAUGGGCUCAACCCAUAGUCUGCACGGGAAACUGUCGGGCUUGAGAAUGGGAGAGGUGAGUGGAAUUUCCGGUGUAGCGGUGAAAUGCGUAGAUAUCGGAAGGAACACCUGUGGCGAAAGCGGCUCACUGGACCAUUUCUGACGCUGAUGCACGAAAGCUAGGGGAGCAACGGGAUUAGAGACCCCUGUAGUCCCUGUCUCUUAUACA